UACGGGGGGGGCAAGCGUUGUUCGGAAUUACGGGGCGUAAAGGGCUCGUAGGUGGCCAACUAAGUCAGACGUGAAAUCCCCAGGCUCAACCUGGGAACUGCGUCUGAUACUGGAUGGCUUGAAUUCGGGAGAGGGAUGCAGAAUUCCAGGUGUAGCGGUGAAAUGCGUAGAUAUCUGGAGGAAUACCGGUGGCGAAGGCGGCAUCCUGGACCGAUAUUGACACUGAUGAGCGAAAGCCAGGGGAGCAAACGGG
rnacentral:rRNA from 1 species